UUGACUUGGACUCUUUCCUGGGAGAGAGAAUAAGAGUUAGCACGAAGGGUUGUCGGCUGUGGACCUGACAUUUUCUAUUCGAGCUGAUUCGACAUCAAUGAAAUAAAUUAUUUUGCACAUCAGCAUACGAAUAUAUGGAAACAAGAAGGAUGGAGAAAAGCAGGACUCCUGUCAAACUCUGUGAAACCAGCAUAGGAGUUAACUGCUCUAAUUUGACCCUGACUUUCAGGCUGAACCUGGGAACAGAUGACCAGACAAGGGUUCGUUGGAUCUGGCCUCUUUGAAAACAUCCUGCAAAGAAAUCGAAACGAAUAAGGGGAAACAAACACAAGGAACGGAGGGAAUAGAGACAUGAAUCACUGAGUGUUUCAGACCAUUUGGAUGUCAUCGGUAAUAUUUUGGAAGUUGUUUUCACUGUCCUCCAUGGUAAUCUGGUGGUCGUCCUGACUCUGAGGGAUGUGUGCCAUCUCGGCUUUGGACUUGUACUCCAACAGCAGGAUCGCAGGAGGCACUAAGAUGCUCAGGAUCACCUGGCGACAAACGCAGAGGCAAGUGAGUCUGAAAAAGAUGGAUGGCGUCGCUCUGGCUGAAGUUGAAGGUUUUCUUGAUGGUGGCAAUGAUGUCUGCUUCCACGCCAUCAGGUAGGCCGCUGGCGUAAAAAAACAAAACAAAAAAAA